UUGGAGAGAAGUGUGUUUGCAUAAAUACUAGCAGAUGAAUUUUUAAAAUAUCACUUUUCUCUUCUGGCACUCUGUGAGAGAAAUGAGCAAAUAUAAACAGAAGAGUAUCGUACUAGAAACAUAGCAGAUGGGUUCCUACUGGGAUCUGGACUUUCCUGGAGUUUACACAUUGGGGAGAUGUAGGAUCAUGACAAAAUUCACUGAAUUCUGAGGCCAAGAAUAUGGACUUCCCUGAGAUGACUUCUACGAAUCAUUUCCAAAGAGGAGUUUUAGUAAUUCACCGGUUGGCUCAGCUGAGGCCUUGCUCUUUCCAGGUCAUGGCGUGUGCCUGUGCUCUUCUGCAGGAUGCGGGGUCGUGGGGCUGGCUGUGGAAGAUGAAACCAAAGGCUGAUUCCAGCGCCCACUGCAGACUCAAGUGGAGCGGGACACGGCUGCACACUUAAAAACCCGAAGCAACU